ensembl:lncRNA
CACAGGGGGGCUGGUCUGCUGCCCAUGCUGCUUGCUCUUGCUGCAAAAUGAACCAUUGUGCAAAGAUGGCUUUGCCUUUGAUGGGGGAAGGGAAAAUCCAGGACUGGACAAAACUGAAAGCAAGGUGAUCUCAGCUUUACAGCUCAUAACUGGAGUGGCUGGGUUUCCUCCACAAAAAAUGCAAAAGUUUAAUGACAUUGAAACAGCUGAAAGUUACAGAAGGGCUGGCACUGCAGAAAUCUGAGAUAAGAGCCCUACCCCUUCCUUGGUGCGGUGAGCACGAUACGAAGGAUGAAGAGGAACUCAAGGCACAACCACGAGGACUUAGUGGGGUCUUGCCAGCAGUUAUCAAAAACAAAUAUGUCUCAUCUGUUUCCUGUCUUGAAAAGGAGGAGCAUGAGAGCCAUGGAGUGAAAUGCUCAGUGAUGUUGGGGGCAAUCACAGCCUCAGCCACUGCAAUACCUGCCCACACCCACAGCUCGGGCAAUAAACUGCUGACUACAACGAAUAUUAUAAAAAUUCCUCCCUGGAUGCCAGAGACACCUUGAUGGUUUUGCAUACGUUGAAAACUCCCUGGCUAAUGACAUAUUUCCUCUUUGGGCUGACUCAUGAGCUGCUUCUCCUUGUUGCUAUGAAAGUUGGAAGCACUUCAACGAUGCGUGCUGCAAGUACAUUUCACGAGAAGAGAGGAAAAUCUCAGUAUUAUUUCUGGAUUCACAGAUUUGACCCUUUCACUUUUGCAGUUGGCGAGCUCUGCCACUUUGACAUUUAUUAAAUAGCUUGUUAGUGGCAAAAGGAAUAACAAUAAAAUGUGUGUGUAUAAUUUAAAGCAAACAAUCUUCACUCUUAAUCCGGCCUUCAAGGCCUGAAGUAAACAAGCACAUUUCAAGGGAAUGCUGCUGCGAAAAGGAAAGGUCUGAUGGGUGCUACUUGCUUUUAAACAUUGAGACAAAGUGUUUAACAGCCUAAAAGCUCUAAGCCCCGCUUGUUAUGGGGAGAUAACAGCUCCAUUAAUUAGAUGAUCAAAUAUUAUUUUAUUGGUAAAUUCUUGCGUUGGCCUGGAAUGGCUUAUGCUUGCUUAUGAGACAUGUAACUCAAUUCUUUUGAGCACUUGCAAUAUUCCAGUUGAUUAUUUAAUGUAAUUGCCAUAAUUCUCUAAUUUAAGUAAUAUUUGCAUCAAUAUUGCGUGUUGAUUAUGACCUGGUUCAGGGUAUUUAUCUGUGCUGAUUUUCAGCAGCUCUCAGGGAAAAAAUAAAUGGUCUUUUCAUGACAUACAAGUUUGACACAAUGUCAAACCUUGCUUUCUAUCCCUCACCAGGAGAGGUGAGAUUCGUGGGUCUGUGUACUUGAGCUCAUUUUGAGUUAGCACCGUGCCAGCACAUGAGCAGAGAGAAAUGUGAGAGAAAAGAGGCUGGAUAAAGCCUUAAGGGCUGCUGACACAGAGAGCAGGAGCCCACCUGGCUGCACUGCCUCUCAGUCCUGAGCAGGGGCAGUUUAUGAGGAGAUGGACACCACCUUCCUCUGAGUCUCUUCGCCCUGGUGCACUGGAGGUUAAACCACUUAUAAGCUGCUAAUGGCCAGAGGUUACAGCCUCGGGGCUUAAGGAAAACUAAAAUCAGUGCUAAUUCACCUCGAAAAGUGGGCUGUAGGCAGAGUGCUCAGGGGUGCAGCAAGGGCAGAGUGGGGAGCCGGGGGCACAGGGGCACACACACAGGGGCAGAGCUCUGCCAGCAGAAGUCACUCGGCCCUGGAGCCAGCGCCAGGCUGUCUUGCAGGGACGUGGGCUGCACAGGCUGGAAUCGCUGGUGGAUUUAAAUCAGUCCUAGCAUUUCACAACCUCUCCCUGCAGCUCCCUAUGCAGAGCCCCUAUACAUUUGUAUACCAUACAGCUCCUUCACAGCCUGCAGUGCUUUUAACACAUAAUAUA